UACGUAGGAGACGAGCGUUGUCCGGAGUUACUGGGCGUAAAGGGUGCGCAGGUGGCCGCGCGCGUGGGGAGUGAAAUCGCCUGGCUUAACUGGGCGGGGGCUUUCCAGACGGCGUGGCUUGAGCCACAGAGGGGGGCGUGGAAUCCCGGGUGGAGCGGUGAAAUGCGUAGAUAUCUGGAGGAAUACCGGUGGCGAAGGCGGCAUCCUGGACCGGCAUUGACGCUGAGGAGCGAAAGCCAGGGGAGCAAACGGG
rnacentral:rRNA from 1 species